GUGAGGGUCGGUGAAAGGAUGGUCAAACCGUUGGUUUUCAACUCCCACGACCCGGGUUCGAUUCCCGCAUUAGCACU